AAGACAGUCCAUUUUUACUUUCUUCAGUUGACGCGGGUUCAAUGCCAAGAAACUUAGCAAAGCUCAACAUAUAUUAAAACUUUUAAGAGUUAUCAAAGUGCUGUGGGAAAAACGCCCUCCCACCGUGCUACUUCAAACACCCAUCAGCUCUCUAAAGCAGUAGCACUGUUGUUAUAUCCAGCAAUGUACUUUUGGGGAUGUGUUGGCUGGGUUUCUGUUCCGGUGCUGCUGAAGAGUUUUGCCCAAGAACAGAGCAGGGAAACUGUCUGUCUUACUGUGUUGUGAGUCUUCCCUUCCAGAGGGGAUCGUCAUCAUCUUAUCCCGAAGCAGGUGUCUGUAGUACAUGAAGUGAUUUGACCUUGCAGUGCCCAUUUCUGUCAGCUGAAAGGAAGCCUAAGGUUUCCUGGGGGAUCACCUGGGACGUAUUACAGAGCUCUAGAAGUAUUUAAGGCUACCACUUGCUUAUUAUCCUUUCUGAUAUGAGUCAUGCAGAAGGGCAUAAUGUUUUAUAAUGUCUUUCCAUGAAUGCUAGAACAUCAGUGCUUGCUCCAGGGAAAGUUUCAGAAAACAACACAGCAUCACAAGCUGCAAAAAACACAGGAAUAGCCCUGCUAUCCUGAGAUGAGCACCUGCUUUUCAUUCCUCUAUUUCUUUGAAGUGUUCCAAGGUUGCCAGGGUGUCUCAGUGAAGAAAGUGGUUCUGUUCCGCUUACAAG